CCCUGGCAUAUGGAAGUUUCUGGGCUAGGGACUGAAUCUGAGCCACAGCUGCAACCUAACCUCAUGCCAGAUCCUUAGAAAAAACCCACUGCGCCGGACUGGGGAUUGAACCUGUGCCUCCACAGCGUCCCCAGCCACUACAGUCGGAUUCUUAGCCCGCUGUGCCACAGCAGGAACUCCCUGUACUACAUCUUUUUAAUCCUUCUACGAUCUUCUAAAGUUGACUUCCACAUGACAGUCCUUAAUGUUAAGCAUCAUUUGAUCUUUGAUGAUAGCGCUUGCUAGCUUAUUAAUAGUUUUGUUUGUAAACAAUGAAAGCAAGCUGGAACCCAUGCAGACCUAAUAAGAUAUUUAUUUGCCAAUUCCAAAAAGCUCUGAAACAUGAAAGGUUUUUGUUUUUUUGUAUGAGGCUCAUUUAGCCCCGAAACCUGACCUGAACUGAUAGGAGGCUAUAUAUGGCUUUUUGGAGUUACUACAUAAUAUAUAGUACAUGCCCUGAACAACUUUUCUAAAUUCUGAACUUUCUCCUUUCUGAAAUACAUCAGGGACCUCCGAGGGUUUUAGCAGAGGGGCUUGCGGACCUACGCAGUGAGUGGAGAUGUGGAGGCCCAGAGAAAAGAGUGGUCACUUGAUUGACUUAAAAAAUUCACAGAAGAGAGGCUUCGGGCACUGAAAAUAGAAUUUGCCAAAAGUAGAAGGCAGUCCAGGUGGAGCAGAAGUCCAGGCCAGAGACAUAUCAUCAUUAAAGAAUGUGGCAAGGGUGUAUAUGGGAGAUGGGCUAGAAAGGCAAUUUGGCUCCAGAUGAUGAAGAGCCUUGUGUGCCACAGGGAGUGGGCAGUGGUCCUCUAUGUAGUUGAGCCCUGGGAAGGUCUUUAGCAGAGGAAUCGUCUCAUUGUAUUUCUUGUGUGGAAAAUUCCCUCUUGCCGUAGCAUAAAGGCUGCAAUAGUAAACAGGGUCCAGAAUGAAGAGGACUUGAAACCAGGCCAUGGCAGUAAUUAAGCAAGGACAGAGGAGAUGGAUUUGAGAGAUGAAGCAAAAAACCUCAAAGUUGACUUCCAAGUUUUCUAAUUUGAGCAUCUGGGCACAUGGGAAUGCCAUUACCCAGGACAUGGAAUACAGCAGGAAGAGCAAGGGUUUGGGUUGGGAGAGGAGCUGGUGGCACUAGUGAUCACGUCCAUUUCGAAUUUAACUUUCCUCUCUGUCAUGCUUGUGGAGACGUACAGCAAGCAGUUGCAAUUCGGGGUCUGAAGCACGAGUUAUAAAUUUUGUAUUUAGUCAUUGGUGUGUGUAUGAUGAUUUGAAGCUAUGAUAGCAAAUGAUAUUUUCAAGAGUGGGUCUACAAAGUUAAAAAGAAAAAAUACAGGUGACCUAUAUUUAAGUUAGAUGGAAGAAAUGAAGCUGAAGAGGUUAAGAGGAGUGGCAGAGAAGAAAUAGGGAGGUGUAGCAAGGAAUGGAAGAAUGGCAGGGUCUCCUUCCUGUGUGAGAUGUCAGGUGAUACUGUCAGAUGCUGUGGAGACAUCAUCAGAGAGAAUGAGCGCUAUCAAGAGAUCACUUGUCACUUUCAAGCCAGCAUGUUUCGUGAGAGCCAUUCAGGUGGCUGAGGAGGUACCCACCACUAGUGUAGACUGCUCUAAAAAAACUGGCAUGGACAAGACCAGAGGGUUCUCUCAUCUUUCAAAAUAAUUUAGAGAAAGGAAUGAAAAGAAAUGAAGCCAGUCUCAGAGACCUCUGGGGGCAAUAUUAAAUGCACCGACAUCCACAGUAUAGGGGUCCCAGAAGGAGAAGAGAGAGAGAAAGGGCCUGAGAAAGAGAUAACAGUCAAAAUAAUUUUGAAAGGCGACAAGUGAUUGAAGUGACAUGUUGAUUCUCAGCAUAGCUAUCGAUUAUAGCUUACUGCUCUAUUCCUUUGUAAAUAAAGGGGAGACUCCUACCAGCUAAAGCCUCUUAGAUGUUGUCUCCAACAACAAGACUAUUAAAAAAUAGUCACUGAAUGUUUUUCAAUAUACUUUGAUAAUAGCUGAGGAGAUUUUGGUUUUUAGCUGUAAUAAGUGUUGAUGCCACUGACAAGCCUUCCUGUGGACUUGAUGUUGGAGAAGUGAAUUCCAGAUGAGUUACCAAGGGGGAUUCUAAUCUAGGACUAGGGUUAAGACCAAGAAUAAUCUUUAAGUCAAGUACCAAUUAGAACUUACCUUUUAAUUUGUUUUUUUAAUUUUCCAUUAUGGAAUUACACAUUUUAAGAAUUAUAUUCAACUAUGACCCAAGCAACUUCCAUCACUCCGUAAUAAAAUGUCUUUCACAACUUCUGUAUUUUUAGGUGAGGCGUGGAAGUUUGAUGGUAGGAGGAUCUUGAAGAAUAUUUUCAAACUGAAAGAACAAAGGAGUCCAGUAGCUUCACAUCUAGAUAAUAAUGUUGCUUGUCCUCUUUCAUCAGGAGCUUUUACUUUGCCUUUUAUGGAACUCUUGAUCGUUAUGUAGAGAAGAUACUAUGGGAAGCCGUUCUCUCGAGAAAUUUCUUUGUUUUAUCCUAAUAGCAAAUUCUCUCUUGUAGUAUGUCUGUAUUGCUAAAGAAGUUAGCCCCUGUGCAUCUUCUCCAGCAACUUGUAAACAAGACAUCUUACAUUGAUUAAUUGCUCAUGAAAAUCCUGAAAGAUUAGCUUCUUUUACANCCCCAUGGGAAACUGACUCUAAAGAACCAAGCCUCAGCCAGAGGUUUAGAAGCUGCUAUUUACAACCUUAGUGGUGUGGUUGGUGGUGGAAGGAUGGGUAAUGACUGAAACUCAUAAAUCACCUUCAGUGGGCAGUUGUACAUGAUAUUUCACAGUGUCUCUCCGUCUAAUUAGCAACAUGUUUCAUCACCUGUCCUAAGAAAUCCACAAAAUUAUAUCACAUGAUUGACUCUUCCAAAGCUAGAGCCCCAACUAUAAGACCUGUCUUUCUGUAAAGUCAUGAGAUUGUCAUCUUCAUGAUUUGACAUGAGGGGGUCCAGAGACAUAACCACGUCCAAAAGUCUUUCUCCCUUGAGUCUCAUACUGCAGUUAAACCCCGCAACUGAAGAUUUAUUGAGUUAAUGUAUUGUUUUCAUUAUGUGUCUAUUCAGCCAUCAAGUUUACAUUACAUAUCCUUGACGUGUUGCCUUUUCCUGGGCACUCUAAGCAAAAAAAGAGAUGAUUUCAGCCCCUUGUCAGGGGAGGAGGAUGAGGAAGCAGCAGUUUCUGAGCCCAAACCAUGUACCAAGCACUAUCCUAGGCACCUUAAUUCAUCUUCCAAACAACCCUGAAAGGUAGCUAGUGAUGGCGUCUGUUCUGUAAGUGAAGAACUGACUUAGCCAAGCCCACACAAUUAUUCAGGGCAGAAGUGAGGUUUCUACUCUGGUUUGUCUUCCUCAAAAGCCUAUGCUGUUAAUGCUCCCUUAAGAUGGAACUCAUAACCCAGUAGGACAGAUACAGAAUGAAAAGUGAAAUGUAACACGUGCAUUAAAUAGUUGAAAGAAAAUGGUGUCAUAGUUAAGAGGGUGAUAGAAGUACUUUUGCCAAGAGAUUGGGGUACACUCCCUGGGGGAGAUGACACUUAGGCUGGGCGUCAAGGAUGAGAACUAUCACCUAUGCACCGAACAAUUUUCUUUCGUCUAGAAAGUAGAUGUCUUAUUUCUGAAUAUCCUAUGUGGUGCUUUGGGUAUUAUAGAAAUACACUGAAUGUGUGAAAUAAAUAUUGUCCAGUCAAAUUUCUUUCAUUGAAGCAUAAAAGUAAGUGAGGGGAAAUCUUAAGGCAUCCCUUUUUUCCUUUUGAAAAGGUGGGCUUGGAGC
ensembl:lncRNA